GGAGGGUCAUAUCUCAGUGGUCAAGAAUCUGCUUUGCAUGCAGAAGGUCGCAGGUUCAUUCCCAGCACCUCCA